UAUAAGGGAGACCCCAGGGAGCUCCCUCACCUGUUCCACCGCAUGAGGACACAGUGAGAGGACACCGGAUAUGAACAGGAGAUGGGUCCUCACCUGACACUGGAUCUGCGGGCACCUUGAUCUUGCACUUCCAGCCUCCAGAAUAGCGCAGCACGGUGUGGCAUCCCUCUGGCACCCACUAUGAGGUCAUGGAGCAAAGGUGGACUGAGCGUUGUCUGAGACCAUCUGCAUGAGCCACAUUCUGAAUACCGAUUAAUGAAAGUCUAAUAAUUUCACGUAAGAAGACUGUGAUAAUUUAAAAAUAGUAACUUAAAAGCCAGAUUUUUUUUGUCAAAGCCGUAAUCUUUGACAGUGGCUGUGCUGCCUGCGUGUGGAUCCAAGCAUCUUGGAGACAAGAUCACCUCUGGGAAGAGACGACAGGUGUCCCCUGGCAAGCCUGGACAGAGGGCCAGCCUCGUCGUGACCUCAAAACCCGCUCCCACCGGCCUCCACGGGACAUCCAGGACUCGACUCGACACGGGUCGUCCGUCACUACCUGCAUCCUGGUCCCCAUACAUCCCUGACUGGACUCACUCUCCCGUCCCACCCUCCCGAACCUUCUAAGUUCAGGGUCAGGGCAGGCAUCUCCCCUUCUAUCCUCAGAUAGACAGCCUGUGCUUGCCCUAGGCUUGUGGAGUUCCCGGCAACUUACAGGCACUCAAAAAUAUGUGGCGAAUAAAUACACGGGUAAAUGGUGACCUUACUGGUCAUAAA